UUUCUCUAUCUGACAUGGUACAGGUUUCUCUAUCUGACAUGGUACAGGUUUCUUCUGUAAUGUUGUUGUCCUUUUUUAUGUGUUCAGACCAUGUGUGUGAGGUUUAUACUUUUGUUUCAGAGUAGAUUUGAUUAAGACUAACAAGUAACACUGUGACCCUGAUUUAGCCCACUGCAUUUAAAGGUUAAACACUCUGUGUGACCCUGAUUUAGCCCACUGUGGUAAAAGGUUAAACACUCUGUGUGACCCUGAUUUAGCCCACUGUGGUAAAAGGUUAAACACUCUGUGUGACCCUGAUUUAGCCCACUGUGGUAAAAGGUUUAUAAUUUAAAACACUUGUCCCCCACCCUCUCAAAUACACAUGUAAAUAUUGGACUAUAAAUUCUGCCUUCCUGUAUUAUACUGAUGCUAAAAUGUUUAUUCUAUUCUACCGAGACAAUUCAUUUAUGUUCGUAAUCUUAUAUUUUAUUAUUUAUUAUUGUUGAAUAAUGUCUAGAAGGAACCUGUCAGUCAGCAUUUGGUUGAAUAAUGUCUAGAAGGAAUCUGUCAGUCAGCAUUUGGUUGAAUAAUGUCUAGAAGGAACCUGUCAGUCAGCAUUUGGUUGAAUAAUGUCUAGAAGGAAUCUGUCAGUCAGCAUUUGGUUGAAUAAUGUCUAGAAGGAAUCUGUCAGUCAGCAUUUGGUUGAAUAAUGUCUAGAAGGAACCUGUCAGUCAGCAUUUGGUUGAAUAAUGUCUAGAAGGAACCUGUCAGUCAGCAUUUGGUUGAAUAAUGUCUAGAAGGAACCUGUCAGUCAGCAUUUGGUUGAAUAAUGUCUAGAAGGAACCUGUCAGUCAGCAUUUGGUUGAAUAAUGUCUAGAAGGAACCUGUCAGUCAGCAUUUGGUUGAAUAAUGUCUAGAAGGAACCUGUCAGUCAGCAUUUGGUUGAAUAAUGUCUAGAACGAACCUGUCAGUCAGCAUUUGGUUGAAUAAUGUCUAGAAGGAACCUGUCAGUCAGCAUUUGGUUGAAUAAUGUCUAGAAGGAACCUGUCAGUCAGCAUUUGGUUGAAUAAUGUCUAGCAUGUGUAUUCUGUACGUACAACUAGUACAUCUCUCUCUCUCUAUUACAAUAAGCCCAGCGUUUGACAGCCCAGCGUUUGACAGCCCAGCGUUUGACAGCCCAGCGUUUGACAGCCCAGCUAGAGAUUUUGAUGAAACUGUGGAAUUUCUGAAACCGUCUCAGGGAAGCUCAUCGUCUUCCCCAGGGUCUUGACCUGACUGCAGUUUGGCGUCGUAACCAACUUCAGUGGGCAAAUGCUCAACUUCGAUGGCCACUGGCACGCUGGAGAAGUCUGCUCUUCACAGAUGAAUCCCGGUUUCAACUGUACCGGGCAGAUGGAAGACCAUUCGUAUCCCCUAUGAAAAGAAUCCACCUUGUCACACCAGACACAGUGUUCACUAUGUUGUCACGAGACUCUGAUCAUUUUGGCCAUCUGCUUUGUGACUUCCUGUGACAUCAGGUCGCUAGGCAACCGCUCCCCUGCUGUUAGAAUUUCCAUGCAUCACUGUCCAUGGCAACCACAUGACACUUUCACACCUUUAACAUUCUACAGCUAAUUAAAUACCAUAUAUAUAUAUACCAAAUACCAUAUUGCUAUGGCAACAACAACAACACUACUGUUUUCCUUUUCUGAGAGCACGAACUCUGAAGGAGCAUCAACUCUCAGAGUUCUACAGUGCUUGAUAGGAAGUAGUCAAAAAUAACCUAGACUCGGCAUCAAUAUGUAGUCUUUACCAAUCCAAUAUGGUAUUAAUUCUGUUGUGUGUCUACUGGGCCAAUCCCCAACACUCCCUCACUGCCGACAACAAGCAGAUCAUCUCUGAACAACACGUCACUUACAGGGGACUUCAGUUAUGUGGGAGUAAAUGGAAAUUAAGUCCAUUUUAUUUUGUAUUUUUUUAUAUUUUUACUAGUUUCUAUUUAUUUAUUUUUUUGUUAUUUUAUUUGAUAUUUUUUGUUUAUUUCUUUUUUAAAUAAUCUUU